CAGGAAAUUUUUAAAAAAUUCAAAAACACUUACAAAACCCCUCAAAAAAUUUUGGUCAAAAGGAGGGACACAGAGUAUCCUAGGCUUAGCAAAGGGGGGAAUAUGUAAAAUAAAAUGGGGACCAUGUGAAUUUUCAUAUCAUUCUUAUACAAUAGACUGUACAAUAAGUUCUUGGUACGUUUGCAUGGCGAUAAAACAUAUAAUAAGUAACAUAUAAUAGUUUUUGUUUGUGGAAACACCACAUAAAUUUAUUACUUCAAAG